UUGGAGACUACUGUAAUGGCUUGGCAUGCAUGAAUAAGGGAAGGAUGAGGUUUCAGAUGGAAAUCUGUUGUUUCCAUUCCUGAUCUCAUGCUUAGUCAGGAAACUAACAUACCCAUGAGGGGUAAACUGUUGACUAUUUCAGGGUACUGCUAAAAGUGACUUAUUACUACAGGGGCUCAGUGGUAUUCUUGUGACCUGGAAAAAUUAAUAUUAUUGGGCUAUUAUUUUGGCAAGUAGUUUUUUUUAUAUUCGGGAUCAGAGUACCGAUAUCAGAUCUGGAGAGUUCAAGAUCAGGUUACAGGAAGAAAAAACAUUCUUAGUGGUAAUAGCUUUGGACUGGGUGGGUGUUAGGAAUGUUGGCUUCCAUUCAUGGUACCGUACAUAAAUGAUUCAAUCUGCAUUUUAAUUUAACAUACUAAUGUCUUUACAGUCAUUAGUUUGGCAUUCUUAGUUGAACCAAUGACUUCUUUAUGAAUGGAUGGACAGAUUGCCCAGCAUGAGUCAUUACUUUCUUUCCUGAAGACCAAAAUAUUUUCUUGGACCUAUCUCCAACUACAUUUGACCAGACUGGUUUCAAACAGAUUACAGGUUCUCCAUUGGAUAGGAAAGUCCUUUGAAUCCAUAUUGUCCAAAGCUAUUGGAAAAAUAUCUCCACAAGCGACAGCUUGGAAGUACAGUAGAUCUGGGAUCAAGAAGACUUGGAAUUCAAAAACCAGCUUUAGUCAUGAACUAGAUUUGUGACCCUGGGCAAAUCACUUCACCUCUGACUGCCUCACGUUAUUCAAUUAUAAAAUAGGAAUAAUAAUAGCAUCUAUCUUCCAGGGUUGUUGUAAGACUCAAACAAGGUAAUUUUUGUAAAACAUUAGGCACAGUGGCUGGCCCAUCUAUCUCCUGGGUUUCUGCCUAACCAGUCAAUUUUAGUCUCUCCAACCUUUCAGGUAGUUCCUGUGAGGACACUCUAACCAUCUCACUAGAUGUGGAAAUAGUCCCAUGGCUAUCAGUCAAGACUAGAAGGAACUCAUUGAAAAGAAAUGGAAAUGAUAGUUUCAAGGUACUCUGAUCAGACAGACCAUAACUUGAAUACUGUGUUCACUUCUGAAUGAUAGAGUUUAGUCACCAAACUUGCUUAUCACUGCUACACAACCCAAGAAAAUGCUGAAAAUAUGGGAAUAUGAAGCUUUUUGGUGAAAUAAUAAUACAACUGUUUGGACAGUGUCAGCAAAUGUGAUUUAUGUAAUAAAUAUGUAAUUUAUGUAAUAAUUUUGUAAAUA
rnacentral:lncRNA from 1 species